rnacentral:lncRNA from 1 species
CCCCCUCCCAUGUCCAAAGAACAGAGCAAGCACCACGCCCCCUCGUGGACUUAAACCAACUCACGGCAUCCCUGGCAUCCGCAAUUCAUCUUCAUCCUCCCAAAUCAUCUGCGGAACAACUUCUUCCCAGCGAGUGAGCAUCUCUUCCUUAACCGAACUCAAAGAUUACCGCCCCAUCGUUCCAGAUUUCUUCUCACAAAUCAUCUCCCUUGCUCCACAUUCGCAUGGGAUCCCCUGUGUCCAAAAACAGAGCAAAGUCUCAGCGACCAUGGUCCACUCCAUCCUCCCAUGGAUAAACCCAGCAUCCCAACCGUCUUCCUUUCCUCCCGUAUCCCAUGAACGAAACCAAUCUCCCCAGCAUCCACAUCAUCUUCCUAGAUCUUAUCCCAUUCGGAACGGAAUUCCAUCACCCGUGGAUCAAGCCAGUGAACCUUCCCAGAUUUCCCUCGCGCCCGUGUUCACCUUCCACGUCCACGAACCAAGCCAACAGCCGCUUGUAUUCAGCCUCAUCCACGUAUUCACCCCAGAUCCUAGCUCCGAACCAGUCAGUGUUUCGGAUUGAGCUUAUCCACAACCGCAAAUCAAAGAUUCAUCCUCUUCCCCUGUU